rnacentral:pre_miRNA from 1 species
AAGUUACUCCCUCCGUCUGAAAAAACUUGUCCCAAGCUUGUUUCUCAAAUGGAUGUAUCUAGCACUAACUUGGUGCUAGAUACAUCCAUUUGAGGGACAAGCUUUUUCGGAUGGAGGGAGUACAUA